GUGCCCAAGUAAGUAUCAUCCUUUCCUUAUUAAUCUGAUCUUACAUGUAUACAAGGGCAAUUUAGUAAUUCUCAUAAAUAAUCACGUCUAUAAUACGUGUACAACAUUCUAAAAAUAAACCCUCUAUAAAAAGCUAGCAAAGUAAUCAUCAACAAAUCAUUUUGAUUACAUAAAAAAAAAAAUCAUCAUUUCUCCUAAAAUACCAUCUUAUUAUUCACAUUAAUUAGAGAAAAAAAAAAUUAAGACGAUUAAGAAAGGGAAGAGAACGACAAUGAUAAUGAAGGAUGCAACCAUGACGACCCCUAAGGCCAACAACACCACGGUAAAUGACGCCGCGAUGGCCAUACAACAAAAUAUUCUUCCUCAAAUGGCAACAAUGUUGAUGGAACUCGAAAAACGACGUCGAAUUUACCGGCCCCGGCUAGCCAAAAUGAGUCUAAAUUUGUUGUGAUUAUGGCCGGUGAUGAUAACCCUAGUUACUUUGCUAAGCCUCUUCCUUCUCCUAUGAUUAUUCCUUAUUCUAGCAAUCAACACAUUGUUUUAGGGAGAGUGUAACGACGUAAGUGCGUCGUGUUUAUUUAUUAGCCUUAGGGUUUAGGAGAAUAGUGAUUUAGAUGAGUAAUGUAUAAUGUAAACAAAAAUUUUAAUUAUAUGUUCACUUGUGGAGUAUUCAUUCUUUGAUAUAAAUUUGAGCAUUACGUGUAGUA